rnacentral:rRNA from 1 species
GACGAACGCUGGCGGCGUGCUUAAUACAUGCAAGUCGAGCGAACAGACGAGGAGCUUGCUCCUCUCACGUUAGCGGCGGACGGGUGAGUAACACGUGGAUAACCUACCUAUCAGACUGGGAUAACUUCGGGAAACCGGCGCUAAUACCGGAUAAUAUAUUGAACCGCAUGGUUCAAUAGUGAAAGACGGUUUUGCUGUCACUUAUAGAGGGAUCCGCGCCGCAUUAGAUAGUUGUUCGGGUAAAAGCUUAGCAAGGGGAGGAUGCGUAGCCGACCGGAGAGAGUGAUAGGCCACAUUGGAAGUGAGACGCGGACAAGGCUACUACGAGAGGGAGCAGAAGGGUAUCGUACGCAGUAGGCGAAAGCAUGACGGAGCGACGCGGAGUGAGUGAUGAAAAUCUCGGGAUCGGGAAGAUGUGUUAUUAGUGGAGAACAAAUGUGGAAGUAAAUAUGCACGUAGUGACGGUAACUAAUAAGAAAGCCACGGCUAACUACGUG